rnacentral:tRNA from 1 species
ACUAGAAUGGUCCAACGGUAAGACGCUCAACAUGUAAUUGAGAAAUUUCAGGAUCGAGUCCUGAAUUCUUGUU